rnacentral:rRNA from 1 species
CAGCAGCCACGGUAAUACGGAGGGUGCAAGCGUUAAUCGGAAUUACUGGGCGUAAAGCGCACGCAGGCGGUCUGUUAAGUCAGAUGUGAAAUCCCCGGGCUCAACCCGGGAACUGCAUUUGAAACUGGCAGGCUUGAGUCUUGUAGAGGGGGGUAGAAUUCCAGGUGUAGCGGUGAAAUGCGUAGAGAUCUGGAGGAAUACCGGUGGCGAAGGCGGCCCCCUGGACAAAGACUGACGCUCAGGUGCGAAAGCGUGGGGAGCAAACAGGAUUAGAGACCCGUGUAGUCCCUGUCUCUUAUAC